rnacentral:rRNA from 1 species
GGCGCACGGGUGCGUAACGCGUAUGCAACCUACCUUUAACAGGGAGAUAGCCCCGAGAAAUCGGGAUUAAUAUUCCAUAACAUUGCGAAAUGGCAUCAUUUUGCAAUUAAAGCUACGGCGGUUAAAGAUGGGCAUGCGUGACAUUAGCUAGUUGGUGAGGUAACGGCUCACCAAGGCUACGAUGUCUAGGGGUCCUGAGAGGGUUAUCCCCCACACUGGUACUGAGACACGGACCAGACUCCUACGGGAGGCAGCAGUAAGGAAUAUUGGUCAAUGGGCGCAAGCCUGAACCAGCCAUGCCGCGUGCAGGAAGACGGCCCUAUGGGUUGUAAACUGCUUUUGUCAGGGAAUAAACCUGUCUACGUGUAGACAGCUGAAGGUACCUGAAGAAUAAGCAUCGGCUAACUCCGUGCCAGCAGCCGCGGUAAUACGGAGGAUGCAAGCGUUAUCCGGAUUCAUUGGGUUUAAAGGGUGCGCAGGCGGAUUGAUAAGUCAGGGGUGAAAUCCCACAGCUCAACUGUGGAACUGCCCUUGAUACUGUUAGUCUAGAGUAUAGUUGAAGUGGGCGGAAUGUGUCAUGUAGCGGUGAAAUGCUUAGAUAUGACACAGAACACCGAUCGCGAAGGCAGCUCGCUAAGCUAUAACUGACGCUCAUGCACGAAAGCGUGGGGAUCAAAC